rnacentral:rRNA from 1 species
GUGGGGAAUAUUGCACAAUGGGCGAAAGCCUGAUGCAGCAACGCCGCGUGAGUGAUGAAGGCCUUCGGGUUGUAAAGCUCUGUCUUUGGGGACGAUUAUGACGGUACCCAAGGAGGAAGCCACGGCUAACUACGUGCCAGCAGCCGCGGUAAUACGUAGGUGGCAAGCGUUGUCCGGAUUUACUGGGCGUAAAGGAUGCGUAGGUGGAUAUGCAAGUCAGAUGUGAAAUACCUGAGCUUAACUUGGGUGCUGCAUUUGAAACUACAUAUCUAGAGUGCAGGAGAGGUAAGUGGAAUUCCUAGUGUAGCGGUGAAAUGCGUAGAGAUUAGGAAGAACACCAGUGGCGAAGGCGACUUACUGGACUGUAACUGACACUGAGGCAUGAAAGCGUGGGGAGCAAACAGGAUUAGAAACCCCAGUAGUCC